rnacentral:rRNA from 1 species
UGCGAGUCAUAUGUUCUUCGUGAACAUGGCGUACUGCUCAGUAACACGUGGAUAACCUGCCCUUGGGACCGGGAUAACCCCGGGAAACUGGGGAUAAUACCGGAUAACGCAUAUCUGCUGGAAUGCUUUAUGCGUAAAAUGGAUUUGUCUGCCCAAGGAUGGGUCUGCGGCCUAUCAGGUAGUAGUGGGUGUAAUGUACCUACUAGCCUACGACGGGUACGGGUUGUGAGAGCAAGAGCCCGGAGAUGGAUUCUGAGACAUGAAUCCAGGCCCUACGGGGCGCAGCAGGCGCGAAAACUUUACAAUGCGGGAAACCGUGAUAAGGGGACACCGAGUGCCAGCAUCAUAUGUUGGCUGUCCAGAUGUGUAAAAUACAUCUGUUAGCAAGGGCCGGGCAAGACCGGUGCCAGCCGCCGCGGUAACACCGGCGGCCUGAGUGGUGAUCGUGAUUAUUGGGUCUAAAGGGUCCGUAGCCGGUUUGGUCAGUCCUCCGGGAAAUCUGACGGCUCAACCGUUAGGCUUUCGGUGGAUACUGCCAGACUUGGAACCGGGAGAGGUAAGAGGUACUACAGGGGUAGGAGUGAAAUCUUGUAAUCCCUGUGACACCACCUGUGGCGAA